ensembl:snRNA U2 U2 spliceosomal RNA
AUCGCUUCUCGGCCUUUUGGCUAAGAUCAAGUGUAGUAUCUGUUCUUAUCAGUUUAAUAUCUGAUACGUCCCCCAUCGGGGGACUACAUAUUAAAUGGAUUUUUCGAACAGGGAGUCGGAAAUGGGGCUUGCUCCGUCCGCUCCACGCAUCGACCCGGUAUUGCAGUACCUCCGGGAACGGUGCACCACUU